AGAGUUUGAUCCUGGCUCAGGAUGAACGCUGACAGAAUGCUUAACACAUGCAAGUCAACUUGAACUUCGGUUUGGGUGGCGGACGGGUGAGUAACGCGUAAAGAACUUGCCUCACAGAUAGGGACAACAUUUGGAAACGAAUGCUAAUACCUGAUAUUAUGAUUUUAGGGCAUCUUAGGAUUAUGAAAGCUAUAUGCGCUGUGAGAGAGCUUUGCGUCCCAUUAGCUAGUUGGAGAGGUAACGGCUCACCAAGGCGAUGAUGGGUAGCCGGCCUGAGAGGGUGAUCGGCCACAAGGGGACUGAGACACGGCCCUCACUCCUACGGGAGGCAGCAGUGGGGAAUAUUGGACAAUGGACCAAGAGUCUGAUCCAGCAAUUCUGUGUGCACGAUGAAGUUUUUCGGAAUGUAAAGUGCUUUCAGUUGGGAAGAAAAAAUGACGGUACCAACAGAAGAAGUGACGGCUAAAUACGUG
rnacentral:rRNA from 1 species